GACAGUCACCUUCACUACACAAGUUCUAUUUGUUCAAGAAGUAGUGUCAAGGUAGCUGUUUGAGCUGUCAGUGUGUAACACCCUGUUGUUUCAACACAAGGUAGCUGUAUGAGCUGUCAGUGUGUAACAUCCCUCUUGUUUCAACACAAGGUAGCUGUAUGAGCUGUCAGUGUGUAACACCCCUCUUGUUUCAACACAAGGUAGCUGUUUGAGCUGUCAGUGUGUAACACCCCCCUUGUUUCAACACAAGGUAGCUGUAUGAGCUGUCAGUGUGUAACAUCCCCCUUGUUUCAACA